rnacentral:lncRNA from 1 species
UUCCAUUCACAAAUAUACCAUACAGUCCCUACCAUAAUACUAAUACAAUUCCUGCCAAUUCGUAUCAACCAAUGCCAAUUCCCUCUGCAGUUCCCCCAUACAAUUUUUCCAACUAGACACAGAGUCCUCACACACCAAAAAAUUUCUCCUGCUUCCAAUGGAACGUAACCUUGGCAUCCUGUCUCAGAAAGAACCUCAUUCAAACAAAAUACAAGUUCUUUUUUACCUUUUUCCAUACCCAAGAUGGACUUCCCACAUUUUGAUGGCAGAGAUCCUAGAGGAUGGAUGAAGAAGUGUGAAAAAAAAUUUCAAUUGAAUCCCAUGUUGGACCCCAGAUCCAAAGUUCUAUAUGUUGCUCUGUAUCUAGAAGGGGAGGCUGAUGUGUGGUAUCAAUCCCUACA